rnacentral:rRNA from 1 species
UGGGGAAUUGUUCGCAAUGGGCGCAAGCCUGACGACGCAACGCCGCGUGGAGGAUGAAGGUCUUCGGAUUGUAAACUCCUGUUGACCGGGACGAAUGGCCACCGAUCGAAUACGUCGGUGGAAUGACGGUACCGGUUGAGGAAGCCACGGCUAACUCUGUGCCAGCAGCCGCGGUAAUACAGAGGUGGCAAGCGUUGUUCGGAAUUACUGGGCGUAAAGGGCGCGUAGGCGGCCUUGUCAGUCAGACGUGAAAUCCCCAGGCUUAACUUGGGAACUGCGUCUGAUACUACAAGGCUUGAGUGCGGGAGAGGGAUGUGGAAUUCCAGGUGUAGCGGUGAAAUGCGUAGAUAUCUGGAGGAACACCGGUGGCGAAGGCGGCAUCCUGGACCGACACUGACGCUGAGGCGCGAAAGCUAGGGGAGCAAACGGG